rnacentral:rRNA from 1 species
UACAGAGGGGGCAAGCGUUGUUCGGAAUUACUGGGCGUAAAGGGCGCGUAGGCGGCCGCCUAAGUCAGACGUGAAAUCCCUCGGCUCAACCGGGGAACUGCGUCUGAUACUGGGUGGCUUGAAUCCGGGAGAGGGAGGCGGAAUUCCAGGUGUAGCGGUGAAAUGCGUAGAUAUCUGGAGGAACACCGGUGGCGAAGGCGGCAUCCUGGACCGGUAUUGACGCUGAGGCGCGAAAGCCAGGGGAGCAAACGGG